ACGUACACUCCUGCGGGAGGCAGCAGUGGGGAAUUUUGGACAAUGGGCGAAAGCCUGAUCCAGCCAUGCCGCGUGCAGGAUGAAGGCCUUCGGGUUGUAAACUGCUUUUGUACGGAACGAAACGGCCUUUUCUAAUAAAGAGGGCUAAUGACGGUACCGUAAGAAUAAGCACCGGCUAACUACGUGCCAGCAGCCGCGGUAAUACGUAGGGUGCAAGCGUUAAUCGGAAUUACUGGGCGUAAAGCGUGCGCAGGCGGUUAUGUAAGACAGAUGUGAAAUCCCCGGGCUCAACCUGGGAGCUGCAUCUGUGACUGCAUAGCUAGAGUACGGUAGAGGGGGAUGGAAUUCCGCGUGUAGCAGUGAAAUGCGUAGAUAUGCGGAGGAACACCGAUGGCGAAGGCAAUCCCCUGGACCUGUACUGACGCUCAUGCACGAAAGCGUGGGGAGCAAACAGGAUUAGAAACCCUAGUAGUCCCA
rnacentral:rRNA from 1 species